GGAACGAUUGUGGUCUGGCUUGCCUAGCAAUAUUGUUGGGCGCCAUCACGACCGGGUUUGGGGUCGUGACACAUAUCCAGGAAGCCAUCAAGCUAAAACAAAAUUUUACAGAUGCAUAUUUGAACAUGGGAAACGUGUAUAAGGCUCUGGGAAUGCCACAGGAGGCCAUUAUGUGUUACCAGCGUGCUCUCCUUGUGCGACCAGACUAUGCAAUGGCUUUUGUUGAUGCUCUAUACUAAUUGAGGUGAAGGAUAAAGUAGGACGAAAAUCAUAUAAGCUUGAAGCUACCUGAGGCCUCAAUUCUGGGCAACGCAGUACCUUAGCCAAAAACUUUAUUUCCGAGUAUAUACACCAGGUACUAAAGACAAUAUUUUGAAAUUAACAUCAGGGACGUGAACCUUUCGUCUCAUAUGAAGGUUGAAAGCUACUAUAACUUAGUAAGCAUAUGAUGUAAAAAUCAUGUAAAUAAAGUAAGUAUCUGCUUAUGAGGAGACCAAACAGGCGAAGGGAAAACAUGGAAGAAAGAGAAUGCAUCUAGAAGACAAUAUAAUGCAACAUAAAGAUAAGAGAACUACACAGAAUUCAUUCGUGAUGAUUAGUCUCAAACCAAAAAAAAAGAGUUAGAUAAACACACCUUCACUUCAUCGUACAGCUUUUUCUCCGCAGCUUAUUUGGGGCUGGUUUUAUGUUUGCUUUCAUGGAUAUUUACAUGUCCUUUUCCUGCUGCGUAUUGGAACAAUUUAAGCUGCGUUCUAGGCUGAUUUUCGGAACUUACGGGGGGCUGUUUUGACUGACUUUUUAGGGUGAGUUUUGCGGCAGAUCUUAUAGCCGUAUUUUUCUACGUAUUGGCUACUCUUGGUCCAGAUUUGUUGACUGUUUUUCAGCGAUAUCGGCAGCAGGUUUAAAGCUGGAAUUUUUGGACGGUUUUUAGGUGAGAAUGUCGCAGCAUUUCGGACUGUUUGAUGCUGAUUUUCUCGGCUUUUUGGAGUAUUUUGCGGCUGUUUUAAGUUCCGGUUUAAAGCUGGUUUGUGUGGGUUUAAGGUGGAAGAAAAAGCUUGUGAAAAGGAACAAUUUUUUUGCUCCUCAAACAGCGGUUUCUGCUGUGAUUGAGCACAAAUAGUACUGUUAUGCACUCCCUUCCUCUUUUGUUUGUCCUUGGUUUGCUCUUACACAUUUAGAACAAAAAUGGUCUUCAGCUGUUGUCAGCAGUUUGGGAGUGACUUAUCCAUGAUACAACAACUUUUUCCUGGCUGGACUCGUAGUACUGUACAAGCUAAAAUACAAGAAAGAAGAGCAGCUACAUCCAUUUAGGCUUCAAUGGUGGCCAAAGAGUUACUUUGUUCAGACCCGAUGGAUAUUUCUCAUUCCAUAAUGUUUCAGCUGGAACACAUCUCAUAGAGGUGUAACCAAUCGUUCCAAAGGAGGAGCAGUUUCACUAGUGACUUCAUUGUCUUCAAACUUCUGUUCCUCAACUACUGAGGGAGGCAAACGGAUGGAAGUCCCAUACUAUUCUCUUAUCUCUUUGUCACGUUGGUAGCUCGAAAACAGAAUUUUGAACUUGACUUCUUAAUAAUAUUUGGACAACGAUCACAAAGGACGAGCAUCUCAUACUAUUCCUUCAUGCUCAUGCAUAUAAAUAGUAAUCUCGCCUUGCUGUGUACUGUGCCAUUAUUGUCCAUAGUAACUGUUAUACCUAAGAUUCAUUUUUAGACCUGAAGUGUAAACUUUAUUCGAUUUGCUUGUGUUUCAUAUGCUGCUCCAAAUAUGAUAUUUCAAAAUUCGAGGAGGAAGAAACGUUUGUUAAUUUCGUGGUCCAAAGAAAGUAAUGUUUGACAAACUGAGACUAGACAGAUAUUAGAUACUAAUAUAUGCUCACUCAUUGUUGUUCUUUCUGAACACCAGUCCCAUCUGAAUCUUGUGUCAUAUUUAUGCAAGAGGGACAUAUAAAUUUACGAUCGUUGAAGUAGUUGUAAAAUGGGUUUAGCUGUUUUACUGAUGGUAUUCUCAUUUACUUUCUGCUUCUUCCUCAUUACUGUAGGUAGAGAAGGUUCUGUGACACAAGCUUUGCUAAAUCUUCUUUUGGAGGAUAUGAAAUCAGGGCCUGCAUCGGUGCGAGUUCCCGUUCCCUAUUAAAAUGGAUAGCAUAUCUUCCUUUGCAAUAUGGUGGUUGGAAAUUCAAGAUUCAACAAUCUCAACUCUUGAUUAGGAGGAAUCAGAAAUUAAAUCUGCAAUCACUUGACCUUUGUGGUUGUGUGUUAGCUGAUGCUGGAGUCGAGAACAUAAAAGAUCUUUCUUCCCUGAUGUUUUUGAACCUGUCACAAUCGAAAAGUGAUAUUUAUUAUAUUUUCCUAUUGUUAUCUCACUUUCGCGUCCAAGCUUGGAGUUAAGGCAUCAUUUAUUUGCUCAUAGUCAGCCAUUGAUGUCACUUCAUUCAUCUCUACAUCUAUUGAAGUAGAGAUGUAAGAAACCACAGUCAUAUACAAUCUUGAGAGUGUUAGCUCCAUAAUUGGAUACAAUUGGAAUAGUUCAACACUCGUGUAAUAAUACAGUAAAGUUUUGAGUUUUCAGUUAGCUGAAUAAACCAUAAUGAGAAAGAAGCAUACAAA